rnacentral:rRNA from 1 species
GUAGCGGUGAAAUGCGUAGAGAUCUGGAGGAAUACCGGUGGCGAAGGCGGCCCCCUGGACGAAGACUGACGCUCAGGUGCGAAAGCGUGGGGAGCAAACAGGAUUAGAUACCCCUGGUAGUCCACGCCGUAAACGAUGUCGACUUGGAGGUUGUGCCCUUGAGGCGUGGCUUCCGGAGCUAACGCGUUAAGUCGACCGCCUGGGGAGUACGGCCGCAAGGUUAAAACUCAAAUGAAUUGACGGGGGCCCGCACAAGCGGUGGAGCAUGUGGUUUAAUUCGAUGCAACGCGAAGAACCUUACCUGGUCUUGACAUCCACGGAAGUUUUCAGAGAUGAGAAUGUGCCUUCGGGAACCGUGAGACAGGUGCUGCAUGGCUGUCGUCAGCUCGUGUUGUGAAAUGUUGGGUUAAGUCCCGCAACGAGCGCAACCCUUAUCCUUUGUUGCCAGCGGUCCGGGCGGGAACUCAAAGGAGACUGCCAGUGAUAAACUGGAGGAAGGUGGGGAUGACGUCAAGUCAUCAUGGCCCUUACGACCAGGGCUACACACUUGCUACAAUGGCGCAUACAAAGAGAAGCGACCUCGCGAGAGCAAGCGGACCUCAUAAAGUGCGUCGUAGUCCGGAUUGGAGUCUGCAACUCGACUCCAUGAAGUCGGAAUCGCUAGUAAUCGUGGAUCAGAAUGCCACGGUGAAUACGUUCC